CUACGUGCCAGCAGCCGCGGUAAUACGUAGGGUGCGAGCGUUGUCCGGAAUUACUGGGCGUAAAGAGCUCGUAGGUGGUUUGUUGCGUCGUCUGUGAAAUUCCGGGGCUUAACUUCGGGGUGGCAGGCGAUACGGGCAUAACUAGAGUGCUGUAGGGGAGACUGGAAUUCCUGGUGUAGCGGUGGAAUGCGCAGAUAUCAGGAGGAACACCGAUGGCGAAGGCAGGUCUCUGGGCAGUAACUGACGCUGAGGAGCGAAAGCAUGGGGAGCGAACAGGAUUAGAUACCCGGGUAGUCCACGCCGUAAACGAUGGAUACUAGCUGUUGGAGGUAUCGACCCCUUCAGUAGCGAAGCUAACGCGUUAAGUAUCCCGCCUGUGGAGUACGGUCGCAAGACUAAAACAUAAAGGGAUUGACGGGGACCCGCACAAGCGGUGGAUCGUGUUCUUUAAUUCGAUGCUAAACGAAGAACCUUACCAGGGCUUGACAUCCAG
rnacentral:rRNA from 1 species